GCAGUGCAAUGAUCCGACGCGAGCUGGGCGGCGACAGUGGCCUUCUCUGGCGUUGCUCUUCACUGUCGGUGAGAUCUCCCUCCUCCACGAAUUUCUAAAUUUCUAGGGUUAGGGUUCUUGGUUUUUGGGAUUGAGGCAGAACAAGAUAAAUAAAGGAAAACAAACAGAAGAGAGGAAUAGGUGAUGUAGGUUGAUGGUGGAAAUUGAGAUUGGCGCUCGGAGGUGGGAUCAAUUCAGGAGGUGUAUCAUGGUGUAGGAGGAGAAGAAGGCCAGGUGGAUGGUGGACAGAAAGAGGAGGAGCUCAAGGUUGCGGAGGAGGAACAACAAUAGAGUAUCUUCUUAGAUCCAGCCAAUGGCGAUGACCUUGUUUCUACUCUUUUAUAGAUAAACUGCUCUUUUUCUUUCUUCCUGGGAGCUCCACCAUCUUGAAUGAACUGGACUGUCACCUAGUACUGAGAAAAACCAUGUUUGGCCAUUUUUAACUUAGAAUGGAGUUGGGAUGCUGCUACUAUAUUUUUAUCUGUAUUACAAUGUUCAUCCCAUCAUUAUGCAUAUGCUCU
rnacentral:lncRNA from 1 species